GAUGAACGCUAGCGGUAUGCUUAACACAUGCAAGUCGAGCGGCAGCGCGGGUAGCAAUACCUGCCGGCGACCGGCGCACGGGUGAGUAACGCGUAUGUAACCUCCCCGCAACAGGGGGAUAACCCGGCGAAAGUCGGACUAAUACCGCAUAAAACAGUGCUCCCGCGUGGGGAUAUUUGUGAAAGAUUUAUCGGUUGCGGAUGGGCAUGCGUACCAUUAGGUAGUUGGUGAGUUAACGGCUGACCAAGCCUUCGAUGGUUAGGGGUUCUGAGAGGAAGGUCCCCCGCGCGGGUACUGAGACACGGACCAGAAUCCUACGGGAGGCAGCAGUGAGGAAUAUUGGGCAAUGAGCGAUGGCCUAAACCAGCCAAGUCGAGUGAAGAACGACUGCCCUAUGGGUAGUACACUUCUUUUGCAAGGCAAUAAAGUGAGUUACGUGUAUUUUAUUGACGGUACCUGGUAAAGAAGCACCGGCUAACUCCGUG
rnacentral:rRNA from 1 species